ACAAGCGGUGGAGCAUUGUGGUUUAAUUCAAAGCAACGCGAAGAACCUUACCAGGUCUUGACAUCCCGAUGCUAUUUCUAGAGAUAGAAAGUUACUUCGGUACAUCGGUGACAGGUGGUGCAUGGUUGUCGUCAGCUCGUGUCGUGAGAUGUUGGGUUAAGUCCCGCAACGAGCGCAACCCCUAUUGUUAGUUGCCAUCAUUCAGUUGGGCACUCUAGCGAGACUGCCGGUAAUAAACCGGAGGAAGGUGGGGAUGACGUCAAAUCAUCAUGCCCCUUAUGACCUGGGCUACACACGUGCUACAAUGGUUGGUACAACGAGUUGCGAGUCGGUGACGGCGAGCUAAUCUCUUAAAGCCAAUCUCAGUUCGGAUUGUAGGCCGUAACUCGCCUACAUGAAGUCGGAAUCGCUAGUAAUCGCGGAUCAGCACGCCGCGGUGAAUACGUUCCCGGGCCUU
rnacentral:rRNA from 1 species